rfam:Gossypium hirsutum cultivar TM-1 unplaced genomic scaffold scaffold817.1, whole genome shotgun sequence
AACUUGUGCAUCUGACAUUUAUGAAUUAAGUCUUUAAAUCGUUCCCAAGCUUCAUAUAGUGUUUCAUCCUCUAAUUGCCGAAAAUAUGUGAUGUUAUUUCUAAGCUU